UACGUAGGGUGCGAGCGUUGUCCGGAAUUAUUGGGCGUAAAGAGCUCGUAGGCGGUGUGUCGCGUCGGCCGUGAAAACCCGCGGCUUAACCGCGGGCUUGCAGUUGAUACGGGCAGGCUAGAGUUCGGUAGGGGAGACUGGAAUUCCUGGUGUAGCGGUGAAAUGCGCAGAUAUCAGGAGGAACACCGGUGGCGAAGGCGGGUCUCUGGGCCGAUACUGACGCUGAGGAGCGAAAGCGUGGGGAGCGAACAGG
rnacentral:rRNA from 1 species